rnacentral:rRNA from 1 species
AGAGUUUGAUCCUGGCUCAGAACGAACGCUGGCGGCGCGUCUUAACCAUGCAAGUCGAGCGGCAGGCAGCAAUGCCGAGAGCGGCGGACUGGUGAGUAACACGUGGAUAACGUACCCCGCUGACCGGGACAGCCUGUAGAAAUAGAGGGUGAUACCGGAUAGAUCACUGUUUACGGAAGGUAGACAGCGGGAAAGGAGCUUCGGCUCCGCGACGGGAUCGGUCUGCGGCCCAUCAGCUAGACGGCGGGGUAAAAGCCCGCCGUGGCGAGGACGGGUAUCCGGCCUGAGAGGGCGGACGGACACAUUGGGACUGAGAUACGGCCCAGACUCCUACGGGAGGCAGCAGGUAAGAAUAUUCCGCAAUGGGGGAAACCCUGACGGAGCGACGCCGCGUGAACGAAGAAGGCCGGAAGGUUGUAAAGUUCUUUUCUGUCCGAGGAAUAAGUGUUGGAGGAAAUGCCGACAUGGUGACGGUAGGGCAGGAAUAAGCACCGGCUAAUUACGUGCCAGCAGCCGCGGUAACACGUAAGGUGCGAGCGUUGUUCGGAAUUAUUGGGCGUAAAGGGCAUGCAGGCGGGUCGCCAAGCUUGGUAAGAAAUACCGGGGCUCAACUCCGGAGCUAUAUUGAGAACUGGCGAGCUAGAGUUGCCGAAGGGUAUCCGGAAUUCCGCGUGAAGGGGUGAAAUCUGUAGAUAUGCGGAAGAACACCGAUGGCGAAGGCAGGAUACCGGCGGACGACUGACGCUGAGGUGCGAAGGUGCGGGGAGCAAACAGGAUUAGAUACCCUGGUAGUCCGCACAGUCAACGAUGUACACUGGGCGUGUGCGCAAGAGCGUGCGUGCCGAAGCAAACGCGAUAAGUGUACCGCCUGGGGAGUAUGCCCGCAAGGGUGAAACUCAAAGGAAUUGACGGGGGCCCGCACAAGCGGUGGAGCAUGUGGUUUAAUU